CCCUUCAGAGGGGGACAACAGUUGGAAACGACUGCUAAUACCGCAUACGAUCUAAUCUCGGCAUCGAGGAUGGAUGAAAGGUGGCCUCUAUUUAUAAGCUAUCACUGAAGGAGGGGAUUGCGUCUGAUUAGCUAGUUGGAGAGGUAACGGCCCACCAAGGCGAUGAUCAGUAGCCGGUCUGAGAGGAUGAACGGCCACAUUGGGACUGAGACACGGCCCAG
rnacentral:rRNA from 1 species